rnacentral:lncRNA from 1 species
UUUGAAUUCAUUAAAAAACCAAAACAUUUAUUCUUUUAUUUCUCUUUUAUAAAAUUGUAACCAAAUUUUGUAUUUCACUACAACAUAUAUGCACAAUAUGUGUGACACCAAUUUGCGUACGGUGUCGCCCCUAAUACUAAGUUAUACAUGGUUAGUAUUGCGGAAUACGCCAUUGCCACCACAAAAAGUGUCGCAACUAAGAUGUAAUCGCUAAGGCCAUUAACGAUAUGUGUCCUACUUUUAACACACCAAUCUAAAUAUAAACCAUAUAUAAUCUCCUAAUCUAUCUCCUGGAGGGUUUUUUGAACCCCAAAAUAUUCGACUAUUUUUAGAAUGGUAUUACACCAACACUUUUUACCUUAUAGUUGAAGUAAUUCAUUUAUAAAAUCAGAACAUCAUUUACUUUUUUAUAAGUCAUUUUGUUUUAAUUCAUUAUAAAACCAAAACUUCUAUUUUUUUAAUUUUCUUUUAUAAAAUUGUAAUCCAAUUUUGUAUUUCACUGCAAGAUAUCUGCACAAUAUGUGUGACACCAAUUUCUAUACGAUGUCGAUGCUAAUGUUAAGUUAUAAAUGCUUGGUGUUGCUGCUUAUGCCAUUGCAGCCACAAAAUGGUCGCUACUAAGAUGUAAUCGCUAAGGGUAUUAACGAUAUGUGUCCUACUUUGGACAUACCAAUCUAAAUAUAAACCAAACAGAUUCUCCUAAUCUAUCUCCUUGAAGGUUUUUUGAAUUCCAAAAUAUUCGGCUCUUUUUAGAAUAGUUUUACACCAACANCAAUAUGAGCGACACCAACUUGUAUACGUGUCGCCAACAAUGCUAAGUUAUACAUGGUUGAUGUUGCCGCUUAUGCCAUUGCAGCCACAAAAAGAGUCCUUACUUUGGACAUACCAAUCUAAAUAUAAACCAAACGGAUUCUCCUAAUCUAUCUCCUUGAAUGUUUUUUGAAUUCCAAAAUAUUCAGCUCUUUUUAGAAUAGUUUUACACCAACACAUUUUACAUUAUAGUUGAAAUAAUUCUUUUAGAAAAUCAGAAACAUCUUUUUACUUUUUUAUAAGUCAUUUUAUUUGAAUUCAUUAUAAACCCAAAACUUCAUUUUUUUUUUCUUUUAUAAAAUUGUAACCCAAUUUUGUAUAUCACUACAAGAUAUCUGCACAAUAUGUGCGACACCAAUUUGUAUGCGGUGUCACCCCUAAUGCUAAGUUAUACAUGCUUGGUAUUGCCGCUUAUGCCAUUGCCGCCGCAAGAAGUGUGUCUACUAAGAUGUAAUCGCUAUGGGCAUUAAGGAUAUGCGUCCUACUUUGGACACACCAAUCUAAAUAUAAACCAAACAGAAUCUCCUAAUCUAUCUGCUGCAGGGUUUUUUGAAUCCCAAAAUAUUCGGCUCUUUUUACAUUAGUUUUACACCAACACUUUUUACAUUAUAGUUGAAUUAAUUCAUUUUUAAAAUCAGAAAUAUCUUUUACCUUGUUAUAAGUUAUUUUAUUUGAAUUCGUUAUAAAACCAAAACUUCUACUUUAUUAGUUUUCUUUUAUAAAAUUUUAACCUAAUUUUGAAUUUCACUACAAGAUAUCGGCACAAUAUGUGUGACACCAAUUUGUAUACAGUUUAGCACCUAAUACUAAGUUAUACAUGCUUGGUGUUGAUGCUAAUGCCAUUGCCGCCACAAAAAUUGUCACUACUAAUAUGUAUUCGCUAUGGGCAUUAACAAUAUGUGUCCAACUUUGGACACACCACUCUAAAUAUAAACCAAACAGAAUCUCCUAAUCUAUCUCCUGGAUUGGUUUUUGAAACCUAAAAUAUCCGGCUGUUUUUAGAAUAAUUUUACACCAACACUUUUUACAUUAUAGUUGAAGUUAUUCAUUUAUAAAAUCAGAAACAUCUUUUACUUUUUUAUAAGUCAUUUUAUUUGAAUUCAUUAAAAAACCAAAACAUUUAUUCUUUUAUUUCUCUUAUAUAAAAUUGUAACCAAAUUUUGUAUUUUACUACAACAUAUCCGCACAAUAUGUGUGACACCAAUUUGCGUACGGUGUCGCCCCUAAUACUAAGCUAUACAUGGUUAGUAUUGCGGCUUAUGCCAUUGCCUCCACAAAAAGUGUCGCAACUAAGAUGUAAUCGCUAAGGUCAUUAACGAUAUGUGUCCUACUUUUGACAGACCAAUCUAAAUAUAAACCAAAUAGAAUCUCCUAAUCUAUCUCCUGGAGGGUUUUUUGAACCCCAAAAUAUUCGACUAUUUUUAGAAUGGUAUUACACCAACACUUUUUACCUUAUAGUUGAAGUAAUUCAUUUAUAAAAUCAAAACAUCAUUUACUUUUUUAUUAGUCAUUUUGUUUUAAUUCAUUAUAAAACCAAAACUUCUAUUUUUUUAAUUUUCUUUUAUAAAAUUGUAAUCCAAUUUUGUAUUUCACUGCAAGAUAUCUGCACAAUAUGCGUGACACCAAUUUCUAUACCAUGUCGAUGCUAAUGUUAAGUUAUAAAUGCUUGGUGUUGCUGCUUAUGCCAUUGCUGCCACAAAAUGGUCGCUACUAUGAUGUAAUCGCUAAGGGUAUUAACGAUAUGUGUCCUACUUUGGACACAUCAAUCUAAAUAUAAAUCAAACAGAAUCUCCUAAUCUAUCUCCUGGAGCGUUUUUUUGAAUCCCAAAAUAUUCGGCUCUUUUUAGAGUAGUUUUACACCAACAUUUUUUUUACAUAUAGUUGAAGUAAUUCAUUUCUAAAAUCAGAAACAUCUUUUACUUUUUUAUAAGUCAUUGUAUUUGAAUUCACUAUAGUACAAAAACUUCUAUUUUUUUAUUUUCUUUUAUAAAAUUGUGAUCCAAUUUUGUAUUUCUCUAUAAGAUAUUUGCACAAUAUGAGCGACACCAACUUGUAUACGUGUCGCCAACAAUGCUAAGUUAUACAUGGUUGAUGUUGCCGCUUAUGUCAUUGCAGCCACAAAAAGAGUCCCUACUUUGGACAUACCAAUCUAAAUAUAAACCAAACAGAUUCUCCUAAUCUAUCUCCUAGAAGGUUUUUUGAAUUCCAAAAUAUUCGGCUCUUUUUAGAAUAGUUUUACACCAACACAUUUUACAUUAUAGUUGAAAUAAUUGUUUUAUAAAAU